rnacentral:rRNA from 1 species
GCUUGCGAGGGCGUAUGGUGGAUGCCUUGGCAGACAGUACCGAUGAAGGACGUUUGAGGAUGCGAUAAUCCUAGGGGAGCCUCCAACAUGGCUUUGAUCCUAGGGUCUCCGAAUGGGGGAACCCGCCGGCCGUCAUGGGCCGGCACCGCCUAUGGGCGGGGGGUACGCAGGGAAGUGAAACAUCUCAGUACCUGCAGGAAGGGAUACUCCGUGAGUAGUGGCGAGCGAAAGCGGAUCAGACCAAACCGGUUGCGCGUGAUACCCGUCGGGGGUUGCGUUGCCGGUGUCGUGGGAUCACGUGUCCCGGUUCCGACGGGCCGGGCGGGAGUCAUAAAACGGCUUGCCAGGGGAACAGGCUUGAAGGCCUGGCCGUAGAGGGUGCCAGCCCCGUACCUGGACGUGAGCCGUCUUCCGAUCGUGUUGUCCCAAGUAGCGCGGGCCUCGUGGAAUCCCGCGUGAAUCAGCCCAGACCGUUGGGUAAGUCUAAGCAUACCUGUCUGACCGAUAGCGUACCAGUACCGUGAGGGAAAGGUGAAAAGCACCCCGGGAGGGGAGUGAAACAGU